UUGCUACCCGCUGACGAGCGGCGGACGGGUGAGUAAUGCAUAGGAAUCUGCCCGAUAGUGGGGGAUAACCUGGGGAAACCCAGGCUAAUACCGCAUACGUCCUACGGGAGAAAGGGGGCUCCGGCUCCCGCUAUUGGAUGAGCCUAUGUCGGAUUAGCUAGUUGGUGAGGUAAAGGCUUACCAAGGCAACGAUCCGUAGCUGGUCUGAGAGGAUGAUCAGCCACAUCGGGACUGAGACACGGCCCGAACUCCUACGGGAGGCAGCAGUGGGGAAUAUUGGACAAUGGGGGAAACCCUGAUCCAGCCAUGCCGCGUGUGUGAAGAAGGCCCUCGGGUUGUAAAGCACUUUCAGCGAGGAAGAACGCCUAUCGGUUAAUACCC
rnacentral:rRNA from 1 species